CAGAUAAACUGACUGGAAUUUAUAUUGGUUUUGGAGUAGGUUAUGUUCUUGUGCUGAUCAUCAUCGUCAUUAUUGUGUACAACAUGAAAAGAAAGAAGAAUCUACUGAAGGGAUUUCUUUUUUAAUCAGACGCCUCUGAUUUUCUGUGAGAUGAGGAGGAGCUUCCUUUGGAGUGGACCAAUAUCGAGCAAUCAUCAUCCCCAUCUUUCUGUUUUCCCUAAAUAUUUUCCUCAUCACCACCAGCCAUGAGCUGAACAUUAGACUUAGACAACUUUAUUUGUCAUUUUGUAUGCACAAAGUGCGUACAGAACGAAAUUAUUCAUUUACAUAGGGUUUUUUUUCUCUCUCUCUGAUUUGUUGAAUGGUAUUUUGCUAAAUUAAAAACUGCCUUUGUGUUAUCAGUAGUCUUAAAUUACCAUUUUAGAAACAACCUGAAACUCAAGCUGACUCUGAAACUUCUAAACAUUUGUCAUCGUCUUGAUUUCUUGUGACCAUUCAUAGAUAAUAAAAACAGUGCUGUUUAAAUGUAAAGCUUUUUAAUGACUU